CCGUGUAUACCAUUGUUCAUUGCUUUAAAUUUUAUUUGUAAGAUUGAUCCAAAAUUUCGGACACAAUAUGAUGGAGGUUUUGUGACAAAAAAUAUCUUUUGGGAUAGAAAAAAUAUGAUCACAUUUGAAAAGAAACACAAGGUGCUCAACUUUUGGGAAUAUUAUCAGAGCCACCCUAGCUAAGCUUUAGACAAAAAAAUAUAAGCUGGAAAUUUCAUACUGCUCAAUUUCUUUUUCCUCUUAUUUCUACUUUUAUGUAUUUUCCACUGGAUUUCAAAUUAAAUCCUUAAUACAAAUUUUAGUAUUUUUGUUAUUGUAAAUUUCUCUACUUUUAUCAAACAAAAUGGCUUUCGUUGAUUGUAGUUUCUUAAUAUUCAUUGUACAAUGUACAUUAUGUACAAUAUGUUUUAUUUGUUUCUUGGUUCCGGAAUCCGGAUAACUGUGAAGAAAAUUUAUUUGCAAACAUCAUAGAUGUAGUUUUUCCGCCAUAUUUGAUAUUUUUCACCCACAAAUUAUUUGUAUUUCCCAAUUGAGCGAGAAAAAAAUUCUAGUAUUUUGGAUUAAGGGUUUUAAUUUUUAAAUGUUUAAUGGGCGUAGACUGAUAAAUUAAUUCGUCUUAUUAUAAAACUAAUUUUAUGAAAAAUAGUCUAUAUUCUAUGGUGAAAUAUUUGGAUAAACAAAAUACCUUUUAUUUGUUUAAAAAAGAUUUAUAAAAUUUCUACAUCAUUGGAGAAGUACGAGUAAUAAGAUUUGAUGUGAUUUAUAAUUUUUAUUCAUCAUCCUGGAAUAUUUUUAAUUUGAUACAAAUUGUAUGCACUUAUUAAAUUGUAAAAAAGUUUUAUGCAUGACCAAGAACGAAGUUACAGUUAGUGGGCGAGUAUGGGGUAAACAUUUUCAUGAAUUAUUUAUCCAAAAAAUAAUUUUCUCCCAAUCAUAGCUAAUUUAACCUGUAGUAAAAAUGUUGUGUGCCGUCUGUUAACACAUCUGUUAAAAUAUAUACCCGUUUUCCGUAAAUAGUGAGCACGAUGUUACAAAUGUGUUCAAAUGUGAAACUGUUUGUCACUUCAACAAUUAUUAAAUUAAUUUCUAGGAAAGAAAACCAUAAAUGAGAAAAAUGAAACUGAACAUGUUUUCACAUUUUAUUUAACAUUUUGUUUCAUGCAUAAACUGAAUGGAGAGAAAAGGAUGCAGGUGAUCAGUAUUUUAAUUUUAAAACUUACUCUUAAUGAUAAAAUCAAGAAACCAAGUAAUUUAGCCAAUGUAUUUAAUUCUGUAAUUUGUAAAUUUGUAAUUGAAAUAUAAUUUUUUCCUAA